UACGUAGGUGGCAAGCGUUGUCCGGAUUUAUUGGGUUUAAAGGGUGCGUAGGCGGUCUAUUAAGUCAGUUGUGAAAUACGGCAGCUCAACUGUCGAGGUGCAAUUGAUACUGAUGGACUUGAGUACUGAUGAGGUAAGCGGAAUGGACGGUGUAGCGGUGAAAUGCGUAGAUAUCGGGAGGAACACCAGAGGCGAAAGCGGCGUACUGGACAGUAACUGACACUCAAUUGCGAAAGCGUGGGGAGCAAACAGG
rnacentral:rRNA from 1 species